AUUUCAACCGUAAACCCAUCGACUCCUACAAAGUCAUUAUCUCUUCGGUUUCAACCCUAAACCCAUCGACUCCCACAACCACAAGGCCAUGAUCUCUUACGUUUCAAGUAGUCUCCAUCACUUGGCUAUAUAAAUUCACUUAUGGAUUCAGUUUUAUCACCUAUGGUUUCAAGCUCCUCUCAUCUUAUUUGUACACAAAUCCACGAUAAAUUCAGUUUUAAGUAUGGUUUUCAAUUCCAAAAUCCACAAUGCCUUCUUCACUGGAAAAUUCACGCUGCUCUAGAUCAAAAGGAGCAUGUGUGUCAGCUUUUCACAUUUUAAUAGACAGAGCUCAGAAGGGAUCAGUAUUGCUUCGUCCAUUUAAAUGAAUCUUAUCUUCAAUAAUGGUGGCCGCUGAUGUAUAGAUUUCGAAGCAACGGAGUCUACUGUACUCAGUCAUGUCAAGGUACAUUCUACUUUAGCUAUGUACUCGAUUUCUUUAAUUGAGAUUGAAUACUUUACAUGCUUACUAUUUCACUCUAUUUUCUGUAUAGUGUUUCUUUAAUUACUUACGAAGGAAAAAUAAAGUAGGAAAGUUCGAAACAAACAAGUUUAUAGGCUUACAGCUCUACUUUUUUGGGUAUAUGUGCUAUUUAGAUUUCUACUAUUGGGAAAGUGGACCGGAUGAUAUGUAAUUAACAGUAUUUUUGUUCUUCAAUAGAGGUACAAAAAUAUUUGAUAGAAAUUUGAGAAUUUCCUUUGCAACUGCAUGGAAGAGGCUCGAUGAAUAAAGGUUCCUAACUACCUUACUGUACUUUUAAAAUUUAUAAACGUCUUCACCUUAUAUAAACCUGAUCGUUUUAAGACAAAUGAAAUUGUAAUAAACAACUAACUGUUACGAUUUGGAGGGUCUGGAAAAAGACUCCAGCAUGAUGGAGAAUGAGAGGAACAAACUAAUAUGUAAGGAUUGAGAGGAUGACAUAUAAAAAAUAAGAGAGUCAAUAAGAAGUCGAUUGUUGUGUUGUGCAAUUAAAUUAGUAGAUCAUAACUUAAACUUACAUCUUACAAAUUAUAUCCAAAUAUAGAAUAUACAGAACAAUAAGAAGUAAGAUGAGACCAUUGACAUAUCAUUUGUGGUGAGGAAGUGUGAGUUGCUCCGGAAAUUCACUUUUU